UGGUGCUUUCUCAGGACAUUCCCACAUAAGUGAGCUCACACCAGGAACACAGAUGGCUGAUCUUUAGAAAUGUUUUUCAACUUAAGAAGCAAGUUCAUUGAUCUUUAUUUGAACUUAAAGUGCAUUUAUCUCAAACUAAAUUAAAAGAGCUAUAGCUUGCAGUGGUGUGAUUCAUAAAGGACUGGCUGAGAGAAGCAGUGUGGACACAGGAGACCGCAGGCUAGCAUUGCAAACCUGGUCUUUAUGAGGGAUCCGAUCUCUGUGGAUACAGCAGGGAGAUUCACCAUCCCACAUUCUCUCUGAAGUUCCCGUGAAUCAGACGAGAAACCCGGUCUUGUUUUUGCAUUGAUAACAGGAAGUGGGUGUUGCUUUUAUUCCGUAUUUGUGCACAAAUGCACACACUCGACUCUCAGUUGGGAUUAGGGAGUAAAGGAAGCUGGAAGCAUCUGCAGAGGAUAUGUGUGGCAUCCUUCCUCAGUGGUCCUGGAAACAGAGGAACGGAAACCUGGAGGAAGUUCCCCCAUGUGACAAGUCCAAAGGAGGACGUCAAUGCAAAAUAGCAAAAGGAAAAAAGAAGCUCAAAACCAUGAACAAAGCUAUCUAUCUAUCUAUCUAUCUAUCUAUCUAUCUAUCUAUCUAUCUAUCUAUCUAUCUAUCUAUCUAUCUAUC